UGUUUUCCAUCACGAACUGCUUAUUAUUAAAUCCCUUUUUUCUUUUAGAAAAAAACGACUAGCAGUCAGAUAUUUUUACAAUAAAUGAAUAAAUCACUCACUGGACAACGAGAUCUUUCGGCAGUUCCGCCAUAUUCUUGGUUGUCUUCUAUUGCUAUACUUUUUAGUACGGUAUAUUGUCUGAGUCUCUCCCCCUCCUACAAGCUCCUUCUUUUGUAAUAGUAUGUAGGCCUAACUUUCACCAUUGUCCACGGCCGUGCUCUCUCUCUCGAAACUCACUCCUUCCUUGUCGAAGUAUUUUCGCGCCUUUUUGAGUUGCGUUUGCCUUUUGCUAUAUAGUUAUUGGACUUGAUCUUCUUGUCUAAUGCAGUCGCAAGCUUGCAAGGGUUAGUUUCAGUUCAUCACGUAUUGAAUACAGAGUACAUUUCCUGUUUCCAGUGUUUUAUCCAGGCAUUUAUUUGUUUUGAAGUCACGUGAUCUUCUAUCAUCAAUGAGACGUAUGUCGCGUCAUGCGCCGAUAAAGCUUCGGAAGGGCGCACAAUCAUGAGUAUCAUGGGGAAGCUGGUGACCCUUCCUCACCAUCCAAAGCAAGGACGACCAUAAGAGAGAGAAAAACCUUUCAAGGACCUUCUGAUAACUGAAGUUAUGAUUGCAGCUGCUACAAACCGGUGCUGGCCGAAGGCAGAAUUGAAGCAGGUCUAGUUGAAAGCGGCUACGUGGCUUGCACAAGCCCAAUCCAAGUUGGACAAAAUGAAUCAGCCAUCAACACCAGCUACAAUAACAAUAUUCGACAUCGAUUGUGAAGAUGAACCUCUCGAAUAGAUAAGAAUAUAAUAGUAGUGACAGAAAAGAUCAUAAAACGUGUCUACAUGUUCAAUUUACUGAUAUCAUAAACAAUAAAUUAGUAAUUGAUUAUAA